rnacentral:rRNA from 1 species
CCAAUAGCGUAUAUUAAAGUUGUUGCAGUUAAAAAGCUCGUAGUUGAACUUCGGGGUUUGCUCAUUGGUCAGGCUUAAUUGUCUGUACUGGUGGGAUAAAUCUCUACCUUCUGAGGAACUUUCAUGCCAUUUAUUUGGUGUGAUGGGAAAUCAGGACUGUUACUUUGAAAAAAUUAGAGUGUUUAAAGCAGACUAACGUCUGAAUACAUUAGCAUGGAAUAAUGAAAUAGGACGGAUUGAUUCUAUUUCGUUGGUUUCUAGGAUCACCGUAAUGAUUAAUAGGGAUAGUUGGUGGCAUUAGUAUUCAAUUGUCAGAGGUGAAAUUCUUUGAUUUAUUGAAGACUAACUACUGCGAAAGCAUUUGCCAAGGAUGUUUUCAUUAAUCAAGAACGAAAGUUAGGGGAUCGAAGACGAUCAGAUACCGUCGUAGUCUUAACCAUAAACUAUGCCGACUAGGGAUCGGAUGAUGUUAAUUUUUUAAUGACUCAUUCGGCGCCUUACG